GGAAUCUUCCACAAUGGGCGAAAGCCUGAUGGAGCAACGCCGCGUGUGUGAUGAAGGCUUUCGGGUCGUAAAGCACUGUUGUAUGGGAAGAACAGCUAGAAUAGGAAAUGAUUUUAGUUUGACGGUACCAUACCAGAAAGGGACGGCUAAAUACGUGCCAG
rnacentral:rRNA from 1 species